UACAGAGGUCUCGAGCGUUGUUCGGAUUCAUUGGGCGUAAAGGGUGCGUAGGUGGCGCUGUAAGUCGGGUGUGAAAUCCUGAGGCUUAACCUCGGAACUGCAUUCGAUACUGCGGCGCUUGAGGACUGGAGAGGAGACUGGAAUUCAUGGUGUAGCAGUGAAAUGCGUAGAGAUCAUGAGGAACACCAGUGGCGAAGGCGGCUCACUGGCCCGGUACUGACGCUGAGGUGCGAAAGCGUGGGGAGCAAACAGG
rnacentral:rRNA from 1 species